AUGCAUACUGUCAGUCAUUCCAACAAGUUGACUUAGCGCUGAGUCAAUUUCCAUCCAUUAGAUCCUCAUGCAGUCAAAAGCCUAAAACUCAUGUUUGAAGCACACAUAUAGUGGAAUACAAAUGUGCAGAGAUAAGGAUCUUUUCUGAAUCUCGCAAUUUUGGUGGCAUACCCUGCUACAGCAUGUUUGUUAUUAUGACUGUUUCUACUUCUGGUUAGAAGACAACCCAGCUGAGGGAUAGAGUUUCAGAGACAUGAAGAGUGUGAAGUGACCUGCCAUGUAUGUACCAUAUCUGCUUGAUGAAAGUCAAUCAUCUGGAUGAUAAAGCAUCAGGAAGUUUAUCUCAACAUGUGGAGUUAUGCUGUUGGUUGCUGUGAAUUCCAUUUUUACGGUUUCUUCUUUCUUCCUGUUCUUAUCAUGAACAUCUCAGUGUAUUUCCUAGAAAAGAGCACGCAGUUUCUUAAUGGAAUCGUGCUGUCCUAGCACGAAGAUUCUUGUGCAAAUGCUGACCUUUGUCCAUGACGGAAGAGGGACUUCCACCAACAUCCUGAUCUUCGCGACGCAUGCUCAUCUAGCUUCACUGCUUCUAAACACAAUUUGUUGUACUUCACUGGCGAAUUGGCGAGGACCACUUCGCCUGAUCGCUUCCGUCCGCUGUUACACACCUGCAGACCACGGGAUUAUGCCCAG